rnacentral:lncRNA from 1 species
CUACGAGCUUCCCAAAGACUCGAAACUCAGUUUAAAAAACAAUGGAAAAUUCUGCUCGUCUUGACGCUCAGCUGCAGGGUGGUUCUGGGAGCAGCUGUCCCUCGGGGAGAUGGGUGAGGCCGUAUGAAUGCCAGCGAUGGAGAGAUAGCAAACUGUGUGGUGGAGGGAGAAACUGUUAACGUGCAGGAGGGCGCCAGCCUUCCGUGGUGCAAGAAGUUUUCAACUGUCCUUGUCUUUCAAAAGACACUGUCUCAACAGAGUGUCAGCAACUUCUGAAGCCAUUUCAGGCUGUAUUUGUUAAUGACAUUUUAGAAUUCUUCCUUGGUGGGCUCUGCCCAGCUUCUGGUGGUUUAAAUAUUAGAAAUCAGACUGAUGUUGGUGCUGGGAGGAGAAGGAAUUAUGGAAAGACAACAUGAAGGGAAGUUCAGGAUUUGUGGCAAGUCUUGCCCAGGGAUUUGAGGCAAGCUGUGUAGGAUCUGGUUCAAUCGUUCUGUCUCAUACGGGGGAUAUGAUGGCUACCAUUCCUUGGAAUAUAUGCAUUUUCAGCAUUAGUACCCAGGAUUUUUUUUUCCCUUGCUCUUAGAGUGUGUUGUUAAAAGUUAGUCGUAGUGAUGGUUUUAUUUUAAAAAUUCAAGGUUUUUUUUGUAGAGAUGAGGUCUCCUUAUGAUGCCUAGGCUGGUCUUGUCCUGGGCUCAAGCAGUCUUCCCACCUCAGCCUCCCAAAGUGCUGGAACUACAGGUGUGAGCCACUGCACCCAGCUUCAUUUUUAUGUUAUUAAUUGAAGAGUAUAUUUUCCCCCACUAAAGUGGUAAUUUUCCAGACUACCUUUAAAGAAGAAUAAAACACCUUCCUCUUCCAGGCAGCUAAAUCUAAAUCUUACAUUGUCUUUUAAAGCAACUCCUUAGCCAAAGACGUGGCAACUGCGGGCGAAGUAUCUCUGGGCAGGAGAUCAAUGCAAAAAUGCAACUGGGGAGAGGGGGCUUGGGGGCCAGUUCCGGGGAGAUUGGAACUGCUGUGUUCUCAUCAGAAGUGGCCCCUGCCCACCCCCAUCCCAAUCCCUUCUCAUGUGGGAGAAGGUCUGUGAGCCCUCUCCCUACCAGGGAGGUUCUGUGGCAAUGUGGGCACAUACCCUGGGGCAGGGGCCGAGGGACUUACUCACUUCAUGAGCGCCAAUGGAGGAGCGAAGGGAAUGCCUGAUGAAAACAACAUUCUACCAGUAUGCACUGUUUUCUAACCUACAGAGUGCUUCUGUGUUCACUGCCCCAUUUGAGAAUUCUAAGUAGAAUUCUGAACAGGCUGGAGCAGAUUGCCCACCCCAAGGGACAGAUGUUGGCUGGUACUGUUGGUGUUCAUGGAAGAUUCCUUCUGACACUCCCUCCUUCUUUGUAAUUGCCCUGAACUGGAGCACUGGGCCAAUAUAAAUCAUCCAAGGAUGAACACGCUGCACACGGACGGCUCCUCUUUGUUUUUGAAGGGAUUCCAUCUCUAUUCUCUUGCCAUGUGCUUCUUCACCCCACUCCCCACCCCCGUCUUUCAUUUCUUUCUCUGGAAAAGAUACUUCAACUCACAGGACUGGGAUGUUGAAACGGACACCCAAGAGCAUCACAGAUGGGCCAGGCCUGGACCUCUCGGGACAACAUUCCUCACGACUUUUAGAAGAGAUUAGAGAUUUGGGACUGGUGGCAACUGGUAACGUUUUCAGUGUUUGGUAAACAGCCAGGGUCCGGAGCUCUGGGAACAGCCUGAUUUAGCUCUUUGUUUAAGUUUUGUGUUAGAGGCUCCCAAGAAGCUGAUGCAGGGGAAAGAAAUUAACAACCAUGGCUCAUUCACAGCCAGGCAGCCAAAUGGACAGCUCUAUAAGACUCAAGCCGACAGCGGAGAGAGUGCAACCAAACAGCCUUGGCCCAGCUUUCAGAGGAGAACGUUAUUCACCCCAACUGCUCUGCAUCUGCCUGGAUGUCUGCCAAGAUCUGUGAGCACUACAGCGUUGGUAUGCUUUGGGUGAGGCCUGUGGCUAUGGCAACGAGUUGGGAGCAACCCGGUCCCUGGGAAUGAGAACAGUGUCUAAAAUCAGGCAGGCGAGGGGUUAGGGAGGAGAGGUAAAGGUUGGACUUGCCUGAAGAUGGAGCCGUUUUAUUGUUGUGGGUAAAGCUGCUACCAUUAGGGGCUGUUUACAGAGUGGGUGCAGCUCAAGCUGGGAGCAUGUUAGACUCAACUACGAUCAACCUAUUGACUUGUUCCCAUGAGACACAGAGUAAAUUAACUGUUGCAGUACUGGUCAUGUACCACCAACCUCCUGUGAACCAGCCCUCAGUGAAACAUUUAUGUGAAAGGCCAUGGUGUUCCCAUAAGACGGUGCAUAUUCUCUCCCUUGACUAACUCUUCAGUAUGCCUCAUUCUCACGCACUGCUGUGCAGGAAAGAGUCCAACAUGCCCUAUUUGACAGUCAUGCUCUGUAUGUGGAAAAGUCUUCAGGUAGAGCACUGGGCUCAGGUUGGAAGAUGUGAGUUCUAAUCCUAGCAAGGCCAUUACCUCCCAGUGACCUCAUGUCUCGAUUUCCUCAACCACAAAACAAAGGCAUUGAUGAGCUGACCUCCAAGGCCUCUCCAG